CUCCUAGUGAACAACAAAGACGCAGCUCAAGCCUCAAGGCUUAAAUAACAGAAUUUAUUUAUAGGGGCUUGUUUUGACUUAAGUGAAAAGUUGAAGUCCUUUUUUGAUAUUUUACCAAAAUCAUCAGAUCUCUCGAUGGUCGUGAGUGACUUCGAAGACGACGACGACGAGUCACACUUCCCCUGAGCUUCUCGCUUCUCAUACUCUUUCAAAUUCUGGGGCCAAUGAUUUAAACAGACAUUGAUUUUGGAACUCCGUGGUUCAAUGCACGGCCAAGUUUAUUAGAAACACUUUGGUUUGCUGGAGCUGAAACCGAAUCAGUCAAGGAUGGUGAGUUCCAUUUUUGCAUUGUGAGCCUUCUCAAAAUGAGAUACAAGUAAUGGCCGGUUUAGCUAUUGGUGUUUCCAGCAUCAAGUCUGGUGAACGUGCGCUCUUGCAUGUUUGCUGGGAAUUUAGCAUAUAGGAGAGAUGGAAACUCUUCUUUUUCCCAAUGUUCCAUCUAUAGCGGAAUUGUUAGAUGACGCUGAAGUUGUUGGAUUUGAUGAAACAAAGGAGGAACGUUUUUUCUUUAAGAUCAUUUGCUGAUUCUUGUUUCCUUACCUGAACACUCCACAACCAAGCUUUUAUCCCAAGCUCUUUGCUUAUAGCUGACUUAGAGGUUGGAUUGUACAGGGAAAAGCUCGCAGUGAUAUGACUAUGGAGGAAAGGUUUGGUGCAGCACACAGAAGGAAAAUGGAUGGGGCUCUCUGUUUAAGGAGGAUAAAUUGGAGGAGGCCAAUACGAAAUGGUUAGGAAUCUCUCUUUCUUUCUAACAAUUACGGUCAAAGUUUUGGUUUUCAAGGCAUACUCAGCGACUCUGCCCGAGGCUCUUGCAUCUCCUUUCGGCUCUAAAACAAAGAGCCUUAACUGGUUGAUAGUGUUAUCGCAAUGGUUGGUUUGCCUUUUCUGCCGGAGUUAAAGCAGAUAAAGAGAAUUUACAAGGAGGAGCUAGCUUAGCUACUACCAUGAAGAUUUGGGGAAGCUGAGAUGUUGCCAGGAGAAGUAAGCACAAACCAAUAGUUGAGAGAUAUAAACAUAAACAGCAAAAGAGAGACUCAUAAGCAUCAGGUCCUUGACGUCUCCUUUCUUCUUCUCUGGCUUCAGAUUCUUCCCAAUCUUCCCAGCCUCUGAAAUCAUCCUUCUCAAUGUUCUCUGGAUCACUCCUUCAUUCUCUUCUGGUAAUUUCUGCUUCCGACAAGACAUCACUCUCAUAGAUCUAACUCCGUGUCUGCUUGAGGCUUGUCUCUUUGUACGGUGGUUAGUGCAGAGUGGGUGGUAGUAGAAGGUGGUGGAGAGAGCCGCCAUGAGAAGAUGAAUAGAAUAAUUGAAGAAAGUUUUUUGUUUUGGGAAUCAAAAGUGAGCAGGAAAAUAUCAGAAUCUUGAUAGCUUAACGACAAAAAUGAUUUGAAAAAUGGGUGGAUAGAUCUCAUCUAACACACACACAUGUAGUCACAAGGUACACGCCAAUGCAAAACCAAAUUGGCCGAAUUUCUAUUCGGUUCGUUUCAACUAAUUCGGUUUGUUUCGAUUUCUAAACCGAAAACCCAAAUUUUUUGAUCCAAACCGAUUCUGAAUGGCCAGGUAAUCAGGUAUAGUCGGAAGCAUCUACAAAUUCACAACAACAACACAUUAUGUCUGACUGGUGAGAUAAAUGAUGACUGAGUGGAUAAGCAAAGAAUAAAAUAAUGUCAUAAAGUCAACAACAUGUCUCUGUGACUCUAUCUCUAUCCUAUUAUUAGAUUUAAUCAGAUAACUUUAAAAUCUGGUUGCUGAAAAAACCGUAUCUCAUUAUUAUAUAAAUAGAGAGAGAACAGCCCCACGUAAACAAAUAGCGAUAGAGCAACUGUGUCGAUUGUCCCAAAUAAUUUUAAAAAUAAUUUCACGUGUCCCCAUUUUGCUGACGUCAUUAUUCCCCUUUUUCCUUUUUAUUGUCACAUCAGAAUUUUUUCUAACUCAUUCAUUUCAAUCAAUCUUCUUCUUCUUCUUCUUCUUCUUC
rnacentral:lncRNA from 1 species